UACGGAGGGUGCAAACGUUGCUCGGAAUCAUUGGGCGUAAAGCGCACGUAGGCGGACUGUUAAGUCGGAUGUGAAAUCCCUCAGCUUAACUGAGGAAGUGCACUCGAAACUGGCAGUCCUGAGUAUGGAAGAGGGUCGCGGAAUUCCCGGUGUAGAGGUGAAAUUCGUAGAUAUCGGGAGGAACACCAGUGGCGAAGGCGGAUCUCUGGGCCUGUCCUGACGCUGAGGCGCGAAAGCUAGGGGAGCGAACAGG
rnacentral:rRNA from 1 species